rnacentral:rRNA from 1 species
UACAAACGGUCCAAACGUUAUUCGGAAUCACUGGGCUUAAAGCGUCCGUAGGCGGCUCGGAAAGUAGGGUGUGAAAUCCCACGGCUCAACCGUGGAAUUGCGCUCUAAACUAUCGAGCUAGAGGGAGAUAGAGGUGAGCGGAACUGAUGGUGGAGCGGUGAAAUGCGUUGAUAUCAUCAGGAACACCGGAGGCGAAGGCGGCUCACUGGGUCUUUUCUGACGCUGAGGGACGAAAGCUAGGGGAGCGAACGGG